CUGACUGGAGGUCUCUUUAUCUAACUUAGUGAAAUGCACUGACUGGAGGUCUCUUUAUCUAACUUAGUGAAAUGCACUGACUGGAGGUCUCUUUAUCUAACUUAGUGAAAUGCACUGACUGGAGGUCUCUUUAUCUAACUUAGUGAAAUGCACUGACUGGAGGUCUCUUUAUCUAACUUAGUGAAAUGCACUGACUGGAGGUCUCUUUAUCUAACUUAGUGAAAUGCACUGACUGGAGGUCUCUUUAUCUAAC